GAUGAACGCUGGCGGCGUGCCUAAUACAUGCAAGUAGAACGCUGAAGGAAGGAGCUUGCUCUUUCCGGAUGAGUUGCGAACGGGUGAGUAACGCGUAGGUAACCUGCCUGGUAGCGGGGGAUAACUAUUGGAAACGAUAGCUAAUAUCGCAUAACAGUAGAUGUUGCAUGAUAUCUACUUAAAAGGUGUAAUUGCUCAACUACCAGCUGGACCUGCGGUGUAUUAGCUAGUUGGUGAGGUAACGGCUCACCAAGGCGGAGAAACAUAGCCGGCUUGAGAGGGUGAACGACCACAACUGGACUGAGACACCGCCCAGGCUCCCACGGGGGGGAGCAGGAGGGGAUUUUCGGCAAUGGACGGAAGGCUGACCGAGCAAAGCCGCGGGAGGUAAGAAGGGUCUCGGAUCGGAAAGCUCUGUUGUAAGGGAAGAACGAGUGGGAGAGUGGAAAGUUCACACUGUGACGGUAUCUUACCAGAAAGGGACGGCUAACUACGUG
rnacentral:rRNA from 1 species